UAAAGGACUACAAAAGUAUUGUCCAAAUUGCCCAGGGAGGAUGUGGCCAACAUUCCUAGGUGUGUUUGCAAAAAUGGCUGAGAGACUAGGUGCAAAGUGAGGGAUGCUGGCAAAGCACGCCUGUAUUUGGAGACCAGUGGUUCCCUCCGGCCACAGGUACUUCUGAUGAAUCUCUUCCAACAGAGUAAUACACACACCUUCAAACUUAACUGCAGAGGAAGAAUCCUACGCUCAAAACCGCACAGAAUGAGUCCUAUCCAGAGAUUCAAAAACAAAAAACCUAUCAGGAAACUUUGGAAGCCCUCGUCUGUUUCAGUUUGUAGGAGUGACUGCCUUUCAGGGGAAAGAAUCUGAUGGGAAGGAUGAGAAACAAAAUAUGCUGAAAUUCAAGAACCGGACCUGAAUAACUGCCUGUGUGACUCGUCAAAGCUGAGCCCCCUCCACACAGUGAGCCGGGCCGUCACGUGGUGCCCUGCAGCCUGGGUGGAGCAUCCUGACCCCUUCACUGGAAAAAUGCGGGAAGGGCCUGUCCCCUCUCAGCUCCCCUGCCUGCGCUCUGGGUCUUUCCGACUCUGUAAAAGACAAUCAAAUAAAAAUGCU